UGUAAAAUUCUUUCGCCAGGGAUGAUAAUGACAGUACCUGGUAAAGAAGCCCCGGCUAACUUCGUGCCAGCAGCCGCGGUAAUACGAAGGGGGCUAGCGUUGUUCGGAAUUACUGGGCGUAAAGCGCGCGUAGGCGGGCUAUUAAGCCAGAUGUGAAAGCCCGGGGCUCAACCCCGGAAUUGCAUUUGGAACUGGUAGCCUAGAGACCAGGAGAGGUUAGCGGAAUACCGAGUGUAGAGGUGAAAUUCGUAGAUAUUCGGUGGAACACCAGUGGCGAAGGCGGCUAACUGGACUGGUACUGACGCUGAGGCGCGAAAGUGUGGGGAGCAAACAGGAUUAGAUACCCUGGUAGUCCACACCGUAAACGAUGAAUGCUAGUUGUCUGCGCGCAUGCGUGCAGGUGACGCAGCUAACGCAUUAAGCAUUCCGCCUGGGGAGUACGGCCGCAAGGUUAAAACUCAA
rnacentral:rRNA from 1 species